rnacentral:rRNA from 1 species
CCUACGGGAGGCAGCAGUGAGGAAUAUUGGUCAAUGGACGCAAGUCUGAACCAGCCAUGCCGCGUGCAGGAAGACGGCUCUGUGAGUUGUAAACCUCUUUUGUAAGAGGGCAAAGGCAGAGACUAGUAUCUGUAUGAGAGUAUCUGAAGAAUAAGGAUCGGCUAACUCCGUGCCAGCAGCCGCGGUAAUACGGAGGAUGCGAGCGUUAUCCGGAUUUAUUGGGUUUAAAGGGUGCGUAGGCGGUCCGAUAAGUUAGAGGUGAAAUCCCGAGGCUCAACUUCGGCCUUGCCUCUGAUACUGUCCGGCUAGAGAGUAGUUGCGGUAGGCGGAAUGUAUGGUGUAGCGGUGAAAUGCUUAGAGAUCAUACAGAACCCCGAUUGCGAAGGCAGCUUACCAAGCUAAUUCUGACGUUGAGGCACGAAAGCGUGGGUAGCAAACAGGAUUAGAUACCCCUGUAGUC